AGCGGCGGACGGGUGAGUAACGCGUGGGUAACCUGCCUCAUACAGGGGGAUAACAGUUAGAAAUGACUGCUAAUACCGCAUAAGACCACAGCACCGCAUGGUGCGGGGGUAAAAACUCCGGUGGUAUGAGAUGGACCCGCGUCUGAUUAGCUAGUUGGUAAGGUAACGGCUUACCAAGGCGACGAUCAGUAGCCGACCUGAGAGGGUGACCGGCCACAUUGGAACUGAGACACGGUCCAA
rnacentral:rRNA from 1 species